GUAUUAAAGUUCUUCAAGCUCAAGAUGAUUUAGUCAACUCCAUGAAAGAGGAUGCUGCAAAGGAGCUUCUGAAUGUCAGCCAUCAUCAUCAUAUCCUGAAUGUCACCCACCAUGAUCAUGAAUACAAACACCUUUUGAAAGAACUCAUUGUUCAGGUAGGUUUCUGCAUUUUUUUUCUUCUAGUUACUGACAGGAUAGCACCAUUGUAUUGGGAAUAUAUACUGACAGAAGUGGUGAAUCAUAGGGAUAUAGAAUGAUGGAACUGGUGUAACUGGCAUAAUUCUUCAAUCUAGAUGAUGAUGUAUAUGUCAUAAAAUGUUUCCUACAAUUAGCUAAACAAAGAUGUGAUAUGGCAAUCGCUGUGACUAUCUCCCUGAGAUUUCUAUGAUUUCCUGUGAAUGGUCAAACACCAUUUGCUUCAUGUCUUUAUGUUAAACUGUGAUAGUUUUUAUUGAUCAAUAUAGCAAUAUUGUCUGAAUAUCCCAAACUUAUAUACGUAAGCUGAAAUAUUUAUCCCUUCAGAGCUUGCUGAGAUUGAAAGAACCGGCUGUUCUCUUGCGCUGUCGUAAAGAUGAUGCUCAUCUUGUGGAGUCCGCUCUGGAAUCAGCAAAAGAGGAUUAUGCAGCUAAAGCAAAUGUUCAUCCUCCAGAUAUCAUCAUAGACCACAAAGUCUACCUGCCACCUGCUCCGAGCCACCACCAUGCUCAUGGUCCCUCUUGGUAAUUCACUGUCCAUGGAGUGUUUUGAAAUUCUAGUGAUAUCAAAUUUACAGCUGUUUCAGAGGAGUUGAACCAAUUUGUCAUGAGGAUGAGACCUACCCUUAUAAAAUGUCCUAGUCAUCUGGAUGUUUAAAAUGUUUAGUCUUUUUCUAUUCUUAAGUGUCUUUUUAAACAAUAAGAAGCUCUGAGAUACCUUAAAACUUUUAGUGAUUGCUCAGUGUCCCUAUAUUGAAUAGUUAACCAUGUGUGAUAUAUUAGAUAUCCAGAAGACAUUUCAACAUUAAACUUGCACAAUCUUGUGCAUGAAUUUGGGUCAGACUAAACAAAUCAAUAAUGGUAACCAAAUUGUGACUAAUGAUUUUCUUUAUAACAUUGGUUCUAAUAUCUUGUAGGAGCUUUAUAUACAAGGUGUUCUAGGUGAUGUUAAUAAUGUUAGGCGCCAGUUAUAUAGUCUAUUGUAUGUUGGUUUGGGAUUUUAAUACUUUGAUCUUAUUUUUUAUCUACCAACUUGGAACUAUUCCAUAACAAAUGGCAGGGACACUUAGGCUUCAAAUUGGGGCCAAAAGAUACACUAUUUCAAAGCCUGAAACCUUUUUGUUUGUAUUUUCAAUAGCUUACCCAUUUGUGGUUUUUUUAUUGCAAUCCAAUUUUUAGAUAUGUUACCCAUUUUGUUUCAUUGUCUUUCCAAUCAGACUUGACCUUUUUAGUCCCUGGCAAUAUUAAAGAUUCUAAUCACAACAGGUAGUGCUUACCCUUUUUCUGGCCUGUACUUACCAUCUCUCGUUAGUGCCCCAUUUGCGAGGAUCUCUAUUAUCGUAGCAUUCGAGUUCUAUCUCCAGAGACAUAUUUACAAGACACCCGUUCACCACAAUUGUGCUAAGAGUUCCAGUUUCAUAUUCCUUCUAUUCUGUAUUCCCUUCAUUAUCAGAGUGUAAUCCUCCACCUCAGAAGCUGAUGUGUGCUGCAUGCUUAUAUCAUGAAGUUCUGUUAGCCAGGGCUUUAUGUAAAGUUAAUAUGAUCCAACUUGUGUUAUAUUUGGGUCCAAAUCUGGUGUUUGAAACUACUGUUUUGAUUGUAACUUCACUGGUCAUAAUUUCAAUCUGUAUGCAACAAUCUUGUGCACUUCUCAAUUAUUAUGGUUCAUAUUUUCAAGGUUGAAGAGUACACAAUGAUCAGUCUUUAACAGAUUCUUUGUUUCUUAUUCGUUGAGGUCAUUUUGCAUUUAUAUUUGAGAGAGAAUGAGUUUGUGAUCACCAUCUGUCUAUUGAAAGCUUUAACAACCAAGUAAAAGAUUUAUGCUGAUGAGAAGGUUUGUUUAUUCAGCUCUGGUGGUGUCGUCCUGGCUUCUAUAGAUGGGAAGAUUGUUUGUGAGAAUACACUUGAUGCAAGACUGGAUGUUGCCUUCCGCAAGAAACUGCCUGAGGUGCUCACUUAUUUUCACAUGUUCAUCCUGUGCAUUCUUUUAUUUUCGUGAGGUGAAUGCCUAGGAAGACCAAGUUUUUUUAUGUCUUUUCAAGUGGAAUCACUAUAUACUGGAAAUUUUAUAUUAUCACUUUGUUGAUUUUGAAGCCAAGUUUCAUGCAGGUUAUUUAGCAAGUUUUAAGACUAUUUAAUGGUUGUUUCAACUUUCAACCCUAAUCUAGUUUUGUGUUAACACUCAUCACAUUAUCAUGUCAUUGGUGUCAUGUUUGUCAAGUUCUCGUGGCAACGCACAGUUGUUCUCCAUGAAGGCCACACUUUCCAAGAUUGUCUUUUGUUAUUGUCAGAUCUAAUUUAAUGGGACGGCACUUGCGUUGGCAGUUUGCUAAAUCAAUUCUUGUUGAUCGCAGAUAAGGAAGAGUCUUUAUGGCCAGGUCGUUGCUUGAUCAAAUGGGUGUAAUCGAUGCUACAUGUAUCCUUUGCCUCAGAGAUGCGAGAUGGCUUAUCCAUCACUAGAGCAGUUAUAUAUGUUUUGCUUUGUCUGG
rnacentral:lncRNA from 1 species